UACGAAGGGGGCUAGCGUUGCUCGGAAUUACUGGGCGUAAAGGGCGCGUAGGCGGCGGAUCAAGUCAGGCGUGAAAUUCCUGGGCUUAACCUGGGGGCUGCGCUUGAGACUGAUGUGCUUGAGGAUGGCAGAGGCUCGUGGAAUUCCCAGUGUAGAGGUGAAAUUCGUAGAUAUUGGGAAGAACACCGGUGGCGAAGGCGGCGAGCUGGGCCAUUACUGACGCUGAGGCGCGACAGCGUGGGGAGCAAACAGG
rnacentral:rRNA from 1 species